rnacentral:rRNA from 1 species
UGAGACAGUUCGGUCCCUAUCCGUCGCAGGCGCAGGAAACUUGAGGGGGGCCGUCCCUAGUACGAGAGGACCGGGAUGGACAGACCGCUGGUGUACCAGUUGUCCCGCCAGGGGCAGCGCUGGGUAGCCAAGUCUGGGAGGGAUAAGCGCUGAAGGCAUCUAAGCGCGAAGCCCGCCCCGAGAAGAGGUUUCCCACCGGGGUAACCGGGUAAGACCCCAGGGAGAAUACCUGGUCGAUAGGCCGGGGGUGGAAGCCGCGCGAGCGGUUAAGCCGACCGGUACUAAUAGGUCGAGGGCUUGCCCAG